CAGGGGGAAACCCCGGAAACUGGGGAUACUACCCCAUAGAUUAGGGAUGCUGGAAUGCCCCCUAGUUCAAAGGUCCGCCGCCACAGGAUGGGUCUGCGGCCGAUUAGGUUGUUGUUGGGGUAACGGCCCAACAAGCCUUUGAUCGGUACGGGUUGUGGGAGCAAGAGCCCGGAGAUGGAUUCUGAGACACGAAUCCAGGCCCUACGGGGCGCAGCAGGCGCGAAAACUUUACAAUGCGAGAAAUCGUGAUAAGGGAACCCCGAGUGCCCGUAAAUUCGGGCUGUCCGCCAGUGUAAAUAACUGGUGAAGAAAGGGCCGGGCAAGACCGGUGCCAGCCGCCGCGGUAAUACCGGCGGCUCGAGUGGUGGCCGCUAUUACUGGGCUUAAAGCGUUCGUAGCUGGGCUGUUAAGUCCCCUGGGAAAUCCACCGGCUCAACCGAUGGGCGUUCAGGGGAUACUGGCAGCCUAGGGACCGGGAGAGGUGAGGGGUACUCCAGGGGUAGGAGUGAAAUCCUGUAAUCCUUGGGGGACCACCUGUGGCGAAGGCGUCUCACUAGAACGGCUCCGACAGUGAGGAACGAAAGCUGGGGGAGCAAACCGGAUUAGAUACCCGGGUAGUCCCAGCUGUAAACGAUGCGCGUUAGGUGUAUCGGUGACCACGAGUCACCGAGGUGCCGAAGAGAAAUCGUGAAACGUGCCGCCUGGGAAGUACGGUCGCAAGGCUGAAACUUAAAGGAAUUGGCGGGGGAGCAC
rnacentral:rRNA from 1 species